rnacentral:lncRNA from 1 species
GUCCUAUUCGCUAAUUCUAAUUACCGUUACGCGCAGCCACAUAAUGAUCAAUGAUAGUGAUAAUUUGUUGUCUUAAUUAUUAAUUAAUAUUACUAUUUUUCCAGAUCUUGGUCAAUGGGUUGUGGAAGUGAACCUGUGCAGUGAAAUCCCCAUCACUCACAAUCUCAGGAAUUAUAUGAGAGAGCAAAUGGAGACAUUCAAUACAUUUUUAUAAUGUGGCAACGUGACAACUAGACAAGUAAGCUAGCUGAUGGACAGUGGUUCGUUCACUAGACCAAGAACCCCGCUUUCCUCUGGUUUGGGCGAACUUUAUACCAAUCAAUGUAUGUCCAUCAGGUCGGACAUGAGGGCUUACAUUUAUCCAAAGAGUGUGACAUAAACAUGGUGAAGCCUCUAUUAGAGAUUUCUGUAAAUAUAGACCAGGAAAGGCAUAAAGAGAACACCAGUUGAUGACAAGAAAUGGUUAUUUUGUAAACAAUCAGGAUCUGGAGAACCUGAUUGUUCCAUCCGCGGCCUUAAAUUCCACGUUUUAGAACCUUCGGGCGUUGCCAUGGGGCCGCCAAGUGCAACAGAUAGGAGCUAAUCACAAGUAAGAAGAAAAAGCAAACAGGAUUAUGCAAAUCUCAUCACGGUAGCUUAAGGAGGCUGAUGCAAAGUGUGCGUCAAAGUCCCAGUUCUAAGUAUCAACGAUAGAAAAACAGAUCCCCCGUACGUCUUGGCUGUUGUAAUCCACGUAUCAGAGAACGGAUAUUAUAGAUUAGGGACAAAAAAAGGAUUUCUUAAAAAAGUUCAAUGUAAGAAACCAGUUUCAGCCUUGAAAGGAGUCAUUCCUCAGUGUUGAUGAAGUUCCUAGAGAGAUUAAAGUUACAUUGCGAAUGACUGCAUCAAUUCUGUAGGAUAGAAAUGAACAAGGGUUUAAGGGGUGCAAUUGAAAAAACUCUAAACAAAUACGUUCAUCUCCAAAAACAAAAAAAGGAAACCUCUGUAAUAGCAAAUCCCAUAACGGCACAACAUACUCCUAAAGUAGUUGAUUUGGUGAAUGUUUGUAUG